UCUCCAUUCAAAAAAAUUCAUAAUUUCUUUUUUCUUAAAUUGUUCGUCCUUUUGCUGCCAAAUCUCCUCAGAUCAUCUUCCCCCUUCUCCUUUCUCCCUUCCUAACCCUAAAACACACCCUUUUUUAUCAACCCACUUUUUUCUCAGAACCAACCAUACCCUUCUUUUAGUGUUUCUGUUUUGAAAGCGUUGUCUGGGUACUCCAGAUUAGUGCAUGCAAUGAUCCAAAUAUAUGGUGUUCUUGAAAAUUCAGUUUAUGGAUUAAUAUUGUGGGUUGAAAGAAAGUACUAAAACUGGAAUGGGAAGUAAUUCAAGUUUUCAUUUUAGCCAACAUUGCAGGUUUGGAGAAACAAGGCUUGGAGGCAAGGAUUUAAGUUGUUGUUGACAGAGGGGAUGUCAAAGUAAAAUGUUGCUGAUUCUUUCAAAUUGAUUUAAGCUUCUUUUCUUUUUUUUUGUGAAAUGUUGUUGGUGACAUAUAGGAUAUGCAUGGAUUCCAAAGGAUGACAACAUCCACAUGUGGGUCUAUAUAAAACUUGAUCCUUAUUGAGGCCACAAAAUUGGUUGCAAAGCUUGAUGAGAAGGAAAGAAAUAAUUUACCAAUGCUUAGACAAGUUGAUUUCAUUGAUAGGGUCCUCCAUGAAGGGUUUCUCUGCGAUGAAUAGGUUUAGCUAGAGCAGAUGGAGUAAAGUCCAAUAUGAGAUGAUAUUGGCGUUUCUUAUCAUUUGUUGAUUAUUUCUAGCCAAGGAGUUAGACAAUGAUAUGAGGAAGUGUAAGGAAGAGUUCAAGGAGUUUGAAAGGCAGGAUGUUAACUACCAGAAAGAUUUUAAGCACAUAAGUCAGAAGAUCAAAAAGCUAGAGGAUAAACUAGAAAAGGUAGAGAAGCAAGUCAUAGUUCAAUGCAACGAGACAUAUAAUUCUUUUGUUUCUACUUUGUAUGUCAGGAUUCAUCCAAAAUUGAAGCCCUUAUGAAAAAGGGCGAGGAAUCCACUGAUGGACAAUAUUCCAAAACUGCAAAAGUUAUUGCUUGAUGAGGAGAAGAUCUUGGAUGAAAUCACAAAGAGUUCCAAAGUUUGGGAGGGUUCCAUAACUUCUCUCCCUGUUUUACCUUACUAUUUUCUCAGGCUACCAAUGAUAUGGACAAAAGGUCAUUUUCCAUGAGUAUCUCAUUUUAUAAAGGUUGUUCUGGUAGUUGAAAACUUGAUGGUUAACAUUGCAUUCACCAUUGUUUUGGUUAUCCAAGAUCACUAGCAUGUAAUCUUUACAGAAUGGAAAUGUUCAAGGAGUACUAAUAGAGAUUGAAGAAAGUCUUCUAUUGUUGUAAGUCUCCCUUAUUGAUUCUUUCUAUAUAUUCAUGCUAAGAAUUUGAUUUUGGCCUAUGUUGAUACCUAUUUAAUGUAUUUCCAACCAUCAUUUUAACCGUGCAAGGAUUGCUACAACAUUGCAACUAGAUUAGACAAGAUUUGAUCUAUUGUUAUGAUAGUCUUGGCUGUCUUCUCUAACGUGGUGGCUAUAUAUAGUGAUGCCUAUGCCUUGAUCAAGCAGAACCAAACUUCACGCGAAUGAUUUCCAUCAUUCUAAAUAAGAGAAGCUGAAUUAGGAAAUUUGGGUUUUCUAAGAGGAUCCGAUGGAUUGAUUUGAAUGAACAGAGAAGUUACCCUGUGUACAAAAGUGCUUCAGAAGUGUUACAGUCUAUAACAUGCGUCCAUCCUCCUCUGUAAUUUUCCAUUUGUUGUAGUAGUUGAAAGUUUUUUUGAACAAUACUCUCUAUCCCUUUCCCUGAUUUGUUGGCAUUUGUAAGUAUUGUAUUGAGUGAAAAUGAAUGAAUUUGUUAAAGAAAUGGUAUACAUUUGAAGAAUUGGA